rnacentral:tRNA from 1 species
GGCCCCGUUGUCUAGCGGUUAGGACGGUGCCCUCUCACGGCAUAAGCCCGAGUUCGAUUCUCGGCGGGGUCA